rnacentral:rRNA from 1 species
UACGAAGGGGGCUAGCGUUGUUCGGAAUUACUGGGCGUAAAGCGCACGUAGGCGGCUUUGUAAGUUAGAGGUGAAAGCCCGGAGCUCAACUCCGGAAUUGCCUUUAAGACUGCAUCGCUUGAAUCCAGGAGAGGUGAGUGGAAUUCCGAGUGUAGAGGUGAAAUUCGUAGAUAUUCGGAAGAACACCAGUGGCGAAGGCGGCUCACUGGACUGGUAUUGACGCUGAGGUGCGAAAGCGUGGGGAGCAAACAGG